rnacentral:rRNA from 1 species
UACAGAGGUCUCAACCGUUGUUCGGAUUCAUUGGGCGUAAAGGGUGCGUAGGCGGCCAACUAAGUCAGACGUGAAAUCCCUCGGCUUAACCGGGGAACUGCGUCUGAUACUGGAUGGCUUGAAUCCGGGAGAGGGAUGCGGAAUUCCAGGUGUAGCGGUGAAAUGCGUAGAUAUCUGGAGGAACACCGGUGGCGAAGGCGGCAUCCUGGACCGGCAUUGACGCUGAGGAGCGAAAGCCAGGGGAGCAAACGGG